CUAAAUGAGGUUUAAGGUAUUAUUUCAUAUUUUAGACCUUGGGAGCUCAGUUUGAGAUGAUUUUUUGUAGGUUUUUCAAGAAAUUCGUCGGGGUAAGUGAUUCUAAUUCAGAUUUGGUUAGCAUACAUAAAUAUAUCAUUAUUUCCAUCAUUUAGUUAAUAUUUUGAGAAGGAAUUGGGGGUUUUGGCCAAAAGAUUUAAAAUAUAAAAUUUUGAGUUUUGAAUACCGAUUUGGAGUCGGACUUGAGUGAAACUAGUAUGGUUGGACUCGUAAUUGAAUGAGUUAUCAGAAUUUGUUAGUUCUGUUGGGUUUCGAUGGCGGGCCCCGGGUGUGAUUUUUGUCCAGAUUUGGGAUUUGAUUUAGGAUUUGAUCUUUAUCAUUUUUAAUUACUUCCUUCAGCUUUUUCUGAUGUAUUUGAGUCAGUUUUGGCUAGGUUUGAGUUGUUCAGAGGUUGCUAUGCGUGUGAUGGCAUUCUUGGAGCAUUGCUUGUCCUGCUCGGUGUCGGAAUUGGCUUGUUUAAGAUAAGUAACUCUUCUACACUUAAUGUUUAGGAUAUGAAACACUGAAUUAUGUGUUAUGUGAUUGGUGUUGAGGUGACGCACAUGCUAGGUGAUGGGUAUGUGAGCGUUCACCCUGUGAGUAUUGACUGCUAUUUCCAAGGCACUGUUUAUUUGCCCACUUUGUUGAUAUUUGUGUUUCUCACCAUGUGAUAAAGUAGUUGAGAUGUACAUCAUGCCAGAUAUCAUGUUUAGGCUUUAUGUUGAUAUUGUUGGGACCCCUAGAAGUCGUUUCUUGCUAUCAUCUCAUUGAAUUCAUUUAUAUUUCGUACUCAGUCACAUUGAUGCAUUCAUAUCAUAUCUCAGUCUCAGUCGUUACUUAUUGAUACAUCGUAUCACUAUUCCAAGUCAAGUUUUAUGACAUUCUAAGCUCGUGGGUAAGACUUGAGAGUGAUGACUGAGUGAGACCGAGAACCUGAUUAUGAGUAGUAGUUAUGGGAUCGGGCCGCAUGCUACAACGUAUUUUAUUGAUUUAUGCCAUGAUUGGAUUGUUAGAGCUUGGGCUGACGGAGCGCCUCCGGAGCCUACAUACCCCAGCGAGUGCGAAUGAUAUUAUUGAAGGAUGGAUUUCUCGAGACAUGAAUUUGUUCGAAGUAUUUGAUAUCUGGAGAUCGAUUUCUCCACAGGGUUGGAUUGCCCCUUUUCCUCGGUAUUGGGUGAUUUGUAGUCAGUGUUGUAUAUGUGUCACACCCAAACCGAUGGGCCACGAUGGGCACCUAGGUACCUUACUCAACCAAGUAGCAACUUAACGUAUCUUUUCAUGUCAUACUAUCUGUCAUAGAUAACUGAGCCGGAAGGCUACCGUGAGAUAAGUAGAAUACAAUAUGUGAUACCAACUUAUACAUAAGACAUACGGGCCUAUAAGACCAAAAUAACCACUCGUAUACUGAACAUAGGCCGACAAGGCCAUACAAUCUUUUACGUACAUGACAUCUAUCUACAAGCCUUUAAGAAUACAUAAUUUUCAUAAAGGUCAGGACAGAGUCCCGCCAUACCAAACAAUACACGUCUAAAUUAUACUAACCAAACAAGCAACUCCGAAGCAAAUGGAGCGCACCAACAUCUUCCAUUAAGCUAAUAGCCUACUUGGAGGACUCUCGACCUGUCCAGCGAGACCUACGGGCAUGAAACGCAGUCUCCCCAGGCAAAAGGGGCGUCAGUACAAAUAAUAGACCGAGUAUAUAAGAAAUAAAAAUCAGUAAAUAUAGAUGUGAGAGAAACAUGGAGUAAAAGACUCGACAUGUAAGUCUGAGUAACUCUGUAAAUCAUAAAAUACUCAUAGUUUCAUGCAUAUGCAUAUGAAUGCCAUGUCGUGCAUAGCUACAUGUGUUCAUAGCAUCAUCAAGCCUCUAGGGGCAUCCCAUCAUAUCAUCUCGGCCACUGUGGGCAAAAUCAUCAAUAUAUACUAUUU
rnacentral:lncRNA from 1 species